rnacentral:rRNA from 1 species
UACGGGGGGAGCAAGCGUUGUUCGGAUUUACUGGGCGUAAAGGGCGCGUAGGCGGGCUGUCAAGUCCGGGGUGAAAUCCUCCCGCUCAACGGGAGAACGGCCUCGGAUACUGAUGGUCUCGAGGGAGGUAGGGGCACGCGGAACUGUGGGUGGAGCGGUGAAAUGCGUUGAUAUCCAUAGGAACUCCGGUGGCGAAAGCGGCGUGCUGGACCUUUUCUGACGCUGAUGCGCGAAAGCCAGGGGAGCAAACGGG